UUCUAGGCAUCGGGAUGGCUUGGACUGGUUAAGGGGAGUGCCCUGGUGCGCUAGGACACGCGUCCAUUGAGGGACCUGAGCUGCAGGAUGAAGAAAUGGUGCAGAGCACCGUUACUGCAUGCUGCCACCGCGGUCACCAUGGCCACUCGAGUCCACAGGGCUGCUAAGACCAGUCAAACAUUUCCAACACGUAGGGCACACAUGCAGGAAGAAGACUCAAGAUUUUGGUUGCAUCUGGGGCUAGUUUGAACUGGUUUUGACUGAGGUUAACAUUCCACUAGUAAACUAGGGGCUGGCAAAAUUUGUUUCCACAGGGAAAACCUUGGGGUGAAACCAUGUCUUGGAGCACUUGAUAUGGAAAGACUUCACCACUGCAAAGUUUCAGCUCAAGAGGAGGAAAGUACCUAUUACUUGCUGUGCAAGGCUACAUUUCAGCCAGAAAUGAAGUUUCAGAUGGGCUGCUCAUAUUUCCCACGUGAGCAUACUAUAUUUUGAUACGAAAUGGUGCAUUAGCAUGCUAGGGAUGCCCUGGAAGAAUGAAGGGGCCUUGGCUGAAGCAGAAGUGGGGCAAGAGGGGUAAAGAUGUUGAUCCAAGGGUAAAAAUGAGGAAUAGCUACAAGGGAUCCCUCUCCAAUAAUUUACCAGUGUCCAUGGGAAUGUUACUGGAGGUAAAAUGUAACUAUAUGAAGGUGUGGUAGAAAGUUGAGCUCAAGGGUUAAAGUGGAAGGGGCCAAAGUAGCCAAUAAAGUGAAUGCACACAAGGUGUUUGAUGAGUGGCAGAGCAACCAGAUGGACUUCAAUGGAUAUGAAAC
rnacentral:lncRNA from 1 species